UUUUUAGUUUUUGUGGGCGUUUGGUGGAUGCCUUGGUGCCUAGAGCUGAUGAAGGACGUUGUGGCCUGCGAUAUUCCCUGGGGAGUUGGCGAGCGAGCGUUGAUCCGGGGGUUUCCGAAUGGGGUAACCUGACAGGUUUUGUGGCCUGUUACCACUGCUUGAAUGUAUAGGGUGGUGGGGGGAACGUGGGGAAGUGAAACAUCUUAGUACCUGCAGGAAGAGAUAUUCUGUGAGUAGUGGCGAGCGAAAGCGGAUGAUGGCUAAACUGUGUGCGUGUCAAGGCGGCAGCUGUUGCGCAUGUGGGGUUGUUGGGGCGUGUUUUUCCAUUCUCUGCCGGGGGUGGGGGUAGUUAUAAAUGGUUGUGUGGAGCUGAACAGUUUGGGAUGGCUGACCGUAGGGCGUGAUAGUCGUGUAGGUGGUUCAUGCAACUCUGCCUGAGUGUGUUCCCAAGUAGCAGCGGGCUCGUGGAAUCUGCUGUGAAUCUGCCCAGACCACUGGGUAAGCCUGAAUACUUCUAGGUGACCGAUAGUGUAGUAGUACCGUGAGGGAAUGGUGAAAAGUACCCCGGGAGGGGAGUGAAAUAGUGCCUGAAACCAAGCGCUUUUAAGCCGUCAGAGCCGGUCGGCCCCUUUUUUUGGGGUUGUGGUGAUGGCGUGCCUAUUGAAAAAUGAGCCUGCGAGUUAGUGAUGCGUGGCGAGGUUAACCCUUUGUGGGGUAGUCGUAGCGAAAGCGAGUCUUAAUUGGGCGCCCAGUCGCGUGUUCUAGACCCGAAGCGGGGUGAUCUACCCAUGGCCAGGUUGAAGCGAUUGUAAAAGGUCGUGGAGGACCGUACCCACCUAGGUUGAAAACUGGGGGGAUGAGUUGUGGGUAGGGGUGAAAGGCUAAUCAAACUCCGUGAUAGCUGGUUCUCCCCGAAAUGCAUUUAGGUGCAGCGUUCUGCGUGUGUUGUUGUGGUGGUAGAGCUACUGGUUGGUUGAUGGGCCGUUUUGGUUACUGACGUCAGCUAAACUCCGAAUGCCAUUGAUAAUUGCAGGGCAGUGAGACUGCGGGGGAUAAGCUUCGUAGUCGAGAGGGAAACAGCCCAGAUCAUCGGUUAAGGCCCCUAAGGGUGUGCUGAGUGGGAAAGGAUGUGGAGUUGCAUAGACAACCAGGAGGUUGGCUUAGAAGCAGCCAUCCUUGAAAGAGUGCGUAAUAGCUCACUGGUCAAGUGAUUCCGCGCCGACAAUGUAGCGGGGCUUAAGCACACCGCCGAAACCGUGGCAAAAGACUAUUUUUGUUUUUUGGGUAGGGGAGCGUCCUGACUGGGGUGAAGCAGGCCUGUGAGGGUUUGUGGACUGGUUGGGAGUGAGAAUGCAGGCAUGAGUAGCGAGUGGUGGGUGAGAAUCCCACGCGCCGAUUGACUAAGGGUUCCAGGGCAAGGUUUAUCCGCCCUGGGUUAGUCGGGUCCUAAGGCGAGGCCGACAGGCGUAGUCGAUGGAUGACCAGUUGAUAUUCUGGUACCGGUUUUUUCUUGUCCAGUGCUGACAAAGUUGUGCUAACCAACGCCGUGAUGGUGGUGAUUCCUUCGGGUUUUAUCGCCUAGUGGUCUUGGGGUCCCUUCUUGGGUAGGCAAGCGUGUUAACAGGGGUGACGCAGUAGGGUAGCUGAUGCUGGCCGGUGGUUGUGCCAGUCUAAGGUUGUGGCCCGCAUGCUAGGUAAAUCCGGUGUGCUGUCUUUGAUGAUAAGGGUGAGGGCUGAUGGGACUGCCACUUAUAGUGGUGGUUAUUGGUGUGCCUGUGCUGUCUAGAAAAGCCUCGACGUUAGAGAAAUAACCGCCCGUACCCUAAACCGACUCAGGUAGUUAGGUAGAGUAUACUAAGGCGUGCGAGUGAAUCAUGGUUAAGGAACUCGGCAAAAUGCCCCCGUAACUUCGGGAUAAGGGGGACCAGGCCCGGACAAGUACUGUUUUUCUGGUUUUUGUUUGGGUGUGGUCGCAGUGAUUUGGAAGAAGCGACUGUUUACUAAAAACAUAGGUGUGUGCGAAGCUGUAAGGCGAUGUAUACGCACUGACGCCUGCCCGGUGCUGGAAGGUUAAGCGGAAGGCUCAACCCCCUUGUGGGGUGAAGGUUUGAAGUUAAGCCCCAGUAAACGGCGGUGGUAACUAUAACCAUCCUAAGGUAGCGAAAUUCCUUGUCGGGUAAGUUCCGACCUGCACGAAUGGCGUAACGACUUCUUCGCUGUCUCGACCAUGAACUCGGUGAAAUUGCAUUACGAGUAAAGAUGCUCGUUUCGCGCAGCAGGACGGAAAGACCCCGGGACCUUUACUAUAGCUUGGUAUUGGUAGCCGGUUGUGUUUGUGUAGGAUAGGUGGGAGACUGUGAAGCCGCUACGCUAGUGGUGGUGGAGUCGUUGUUGAAAUACCACUCUGAUAUAAACGGUUAUCUAACCUUGGUCCGUGAUCCGGAUUGGGGACAGUGCCUGGUGGGUAGUUUAACUGGGGCGGUUGCCUCCUAAAUGGUAACGGAGGCGCUCAAAGGUCUUCUCAGCCUGGUUGGUAAUCAGGUGUUGAGUGUAAGUGUAGAAGAAGGCUUGACUGUGACACUGACGGGUGGAGCAGGUGCGAAAGCAGGAACUAGUGAUCCGGCCGUGGUUCGUGGAAACGCGGUCGCUCAACGGAUAAAAGGUACCCCGGGGAUAACAGGCUGAUCUUGCCCAAGAGUCCAUAUCGACGGCAUGGUUUGGCACCUCGAUGUCGGCUCGUCGCAUCCUGGGGCUGGAGUCGGUCCCAAGGGUUGGGCUGUUCGCCCAUUAAAGCGGUACGCGAGCUGGGUUUAGAACGUCGUGAGACAGUUCGGUCCCUAUCCGCUGCGCGCGUAGGAAACUUGAGAAGGCCUGUCCCUAGUACGAGAGGACCGGGACGGACAAGCCUCUGGUGUGCCAGUUGUACCGCCAGGUGCAUGGCUGGUUAGCUACGCUUGGGAAGGAUAACCGCUGAAAGCAUCUAAGCGGGAAGCCUGCUUCAAGACAAGGUUUCCAUCCCCCUCUUGGGGGGAGAGACUCCCAAUAGAUGAUUGGGUUGAUAGGCCAGGCGUGUAAGCAUGGUAACGUGUUUAGCUUACUGGUACUAAUAGUCAACAACUAAAAACA
rnacentral:rRNA from 1 species